rnacentral:rRNA from 1 species
UGGGGAAUCUUGCGCAAUGGGCGAAAGCCUGACGCAGCCAUGCCGCGUGAAUGAUGAAGGUCUUAGGAUUGUAAAAUUCUUUCACCGGGGACGAUAAUGACGGUACCCGGAGAAGAAGCCCCGGCUAACUUCGUGCCAGCAGCCGCGGUAAUACGAAGGGGGCUAGCGUUGCUCGGAAUUACUGGGCGUAAAGGGAGCGUAGGCGGACAUUUAAGUCAGGGGUGAAAUCCCGGGGCUCAACCUCGGAAUUGCCUUUGAUACUGGGUGUCUUGAGUAUGAGAGAGGUGUGUGGAACUCCGAGUGUAGGGGUGAAAUUCGUAGAUAUUCGGAAGAACACCAGUGGCGAAGGCGACACACUGGCUCAUUACUGACGCUGAGGCUCGAAAGCGUGGGGAGCAAACAGG